UAAAGUUUGAAAAUGCAUGAUGUUUUUUUUGAAAGGAACUAAAUGAAUUCAUUUAAAUCCUAUGGAGAUUACAUGGUGCAAUCAGAGCCGUUGAUUUGAGUCACCGAUUGAUCUGGGCCGUGUAUCAUUAAUAAAUAUCGAGACGAUGUAGAAGAAGCCAGACUGGUCGACCCGGUUCCUCGACCCCGAAACCCAUAACGGUGAUCCGAUUCCUCCUUUCGAUUCCGGCGACCUCUGUUCGGAAGACCGGUGACGUUGGAAUGGUCUCGGAGGUGCGAAGGAAGCGGGGCUUUGUUCCCUUUGGUUCAAACGAGCGAGCUGUGACGGCGGCCUGAGGCUCGAAAGUUUCCACUGCAUGGCGGUUUCCAGUCAGAUUUUCCGACUUCGACGACGACUGCUGGCGGUAGCUGCGUCUCGGUGAGGUGAAAGAUUAUAACUUGGAAGCUUGGGAGAUGCCGGCGGGUUUGGAGAGAGAAUUAAAACUUGGAAGCUUCGGAGCUGCCGGCGGGUUUUCUGCAAUUUCCAGCGAAUUUGAUCCCGAUCGGCGAUGACCGAGGUAAGAGGUUUGAUUUACUCUUCGAGUUUCGGUUAAGUGUUGGAGGAAUUGGGUAUUUUGCGUCCGUUGGCCAUCAGUGAGUACAUGUUGAGGCACCGAGUCAAGCCCUCCGAUCCAUUCCCAAAACGCAUAUCAGGAUCAGCCACCUGCAUUAUAUAUCUCAACAAAUUAAAUUCCACCAACCAAAAUUGCUCAAGAUCAAUGACUUUGCAUGUUCCAAUAAUCAAAAAUCUUGGCACCAUUAUCAUGUUGGGCUCUUCAGGUUUGGUUGUCAGAAAAAUCUGGGUUGGUACGCUAGCUGUAGGUUUGGUUGUUCCGCUGACCUGCUCUCAGCCAAAGCAUCGUUCCCGUUGAAGAUCGAAGCUUUUUCAGGCAGUCACGUAAGUUUUUACUUGAACAGCUUCCUAAUUCUCUUCAAAUUACUUUGCUUUGUUUAAUUUUGCUACACCUAUGGAUAUAUAUGCUAUCUCUGCAAUUUCUUCUUUCGCAUGAACUUCUGGAUAGAGCUGAAUUUGUCUGUGUUAAACUUUGAGCCCGAGAAUUCUUUUGUUUUCCUUUUGGUUAUUUUUUAUACUUGUUUUACUUGAGGAAUUUCCUGAGGCGGUAAUUAGGCAACAUAAGUAACCAAUUACAAAGCUGUAUAGAGCUAAAGGGCGUCAUUUAUUUCAAUACUUUGUCUAUGAAGAUCAAAGUUAUUUACUUUAAAGAGAUUGGAAUGCAACCAAUGAUAUAUAGCUUUGCCCAUAUAAAGUUUGGUCCGUGUUUAAAGUGUUGAAUUAGUUUACUAGUGGUAUAAUGUUCCGAUGAUGACCAAGGCAAAGAGGGUGGUUUUCCCCAAAUUCCAGUGCUUCUAUUAGCGUUCGAGGAUAUGUGAUCCUUUUGUGGAGUAGGAUUUGACUUUGGUUCUAAGUAUGUAUAGAAUUAGUUGAUGUACGUUUGACUGGUAAACUUAUCUCGCUUACAGUAGAAGUUUACAUUGAUGAGUGACUAGUUUGUAGAUGUAAGUUGAAACUUGCAAGAUCAGUUAUUCAGUUUAGAUGAUUAAGCUGGUAGUGUAUAUUCACAGAAAUAGGAUCAAGCAAAAAUUCACUUCUUUGAUGUUUAGAUUAGUGUUUAGGUUUGAGUUCUUUGUGGGGACAACUUGAGAUUGAUAUUAAUGGUCUAUGACCGUUUGUUUCUUAUUUGAAGAAGAAGAAGAUACAGCUUCAUAAUGUCUUUUAGUGAGUAAAAUUAGGAUAUUGAUUCACUCGAACCUUUGACAAAUUCCUAAAUAACAAUUCACUCGAACUAUGUUCCUUCCAUUUCUUAAUUAUUUUUCUUAUUUAUUAUAUGUGGCUGUUAAGCUUCUGGAAUUUUACUCUAAUUGAAAAUUUGUUGGUCUGUGCAAUUGGGGAACAAGCUUAUGUAUAUGCCAAAUGAUCGUACUUCUACCACAAAGUUGGAUAUAUAUGGAGUUUCAGUGAUAUUGCAGGUCCUUGAUCCCUACUCGUUAGUGAUGAAGUUCAUAUAUAUGUACAUGGAAUUUAUCAUUAGUGGUCUUUCAUGUGGAUCCAUAUAUGAAUGACUUAAAGGCAAGAUGAAGGAUGAGAGCAGAAAUGACAGGAAUCCUGGAAAUGGUAACACUCUUCUAGUGCAGGUAAUUGUUCCCUAUCAUGUUUCUUGAAACUGUCUCAAAGGUAGUAGAUGAAGAUAUUGGAGAUGAUGAAACCAAGUUUUUGUGCCUCUACUGCCAUCUAAGAUCACAUAGGAUAUCAACCUGUAAUUAGGAUUUAUUUAGUUUGUUUUAAUUGUAGUUUAGUUCAACUGUUAUGAGUAACAGAUCAGUAAAUGUCCUCUUUUCUUUUCAAGGACACUUUUUGUUCA